AAAAUUUGAUAUUUGAAAUUUUAUGAGGUCUAAAAGAAAAUUUUAAACUUUCAAUUGAUUUAAUAAAAAUGGUGAUGGUUUUAAAAGAAAGUGGAUUGGGCAAUGGUCCAAGACAUAUUUUACGUAGGCCCAAUAACGAACGGCCCAUUACAUCUAGUCCAAGUGGUUCAAACUAAGAAGGGUGGGAAAAUGCAUGACCUCAAUUACUCUCGUGAUCACACGGCUGGCGGAGUGAUUGGGUGGAAAGCAAGGCAUGAUCUGGCAUCGUGGGGGGGAGGAAGGCCUAUAAAUAUAACUCCUUCAUUUCUGUAAAUCUAAUCGACAUUUUUGGUCAGACUUAUAUGUAAC
rnacentral:lncRNA from 1 species